AUAAUAAUUAGUCUUUUAAUUAAAGACUGGAAUGAAUGAUUGGACGAAAUAUAAACUGUUUUUGUUUUAGAAAUAAAAUUUAUUUUUUUAGUGAAAAAACUAAAAUUUUUAAAAAAGACAAGAAGACCCUAUAGAUCUUAAUAUAUUAUAAUAAAUAUAAAAAUUAAUUUGUAUAAUAUAUUUAAUUGGGGUGAUUAAAAAAUUUAGUUAACUUUUUUAAUAAAAAACAAUAAUUAAUGAGUAAAUAAUGAUGAUCUAUAUUAAUUGAUAAUAAUUAUAAAGAAAGAUAAAGAUACCUUAGGGAUAACAGCGUAAUUUUAAUUUUAAGUUCUUAUUAAAAUUAGAGAUUGC
rnacentral:rRNA from 1 species